GGGAAGAAAAUUAGGCAUUAGCUUGAUAGAGAAAGAGGAAGAGAGAGGGGAGAAGAUGAAGAACCCCACAAGGGGGUGUAUGUUCCUAGGAGAGGAGAAGAGUUGGCAUUUAAAUAGAGGAGGAAGGCCUAGGAUUUUGUGGUGUAGCAUGUAAGAAAAGAAAGAGAGAAAAGGAGGGGCAUGAGGAGUUGUGGUGCAUGAGAGAAUGUGAGCGUGAGGGGCAUUUGUUGUGUGUAAUAAAAGGAAGAAAGGGGGCAUGGG
rnacentral:lncRNA from 1 species